GAAUCCUUCAUGUUCAAGCCAUUGAUCAUUAAUUCUUUCUCUCUCUUUCUCUCUUACAAUUUCCUUUCACAUUCCUUCUAUUGUUUGUGUUAGCAAAUUUUUAAUCCUUUUUUUUCACUGAAUUCUGGUUUUUCUACUUGUACUUGCAUCAUGCUUACACUAAUAGUAUUCUUUCUUUAACAUUUUCUUUUUGGGGUUCGGAUCAAAUAGUUCAUUGCUCUGUUUUAUAAAGCUCCAUCUCAAUAGGCAAUAGAGACUUGGAGUGGAAAAAAAACAUGGCAGAAAUGGUUAAUUAUCCCAUGGAGCGCCAACUGGGUUGUGGCCUAAUGGGAGGGAUUUUUCCUCGCCGGAGCUGGCAAAGGAAAACAUGUGCAUAUUCACUGCCUGCAGAGAGCAGCAACAAUGUAUUGAAGGAAAAGCAUCCUCCUGUCGAUAUUUCCAAGAGGCAGAGAAGCAAAUCUGAAGCUGCCAUUAUUGACACCUCCAAUCCGGCUAAACCAUCGCCAGAAGUAGGCCAAAAACUUGCCAGAAGGCAUAGUUUGGUUGCUCCAACAGCUUCAACUUCUCAUCAGAAGAAUGAGGGUAGAAAAUCCUCCGAUGCUGCAAGAAUCUCAACAUCAUCUUCGAGUUCGAGCCAAAUGAAAUUAUCACAGACCAAUGGGGCAAAGCUAAGGAAGGACUCCGAAAGUGACUCCAAAGAGCUUAGUAUGAGCAUCACAACUAAUCAUCAACAGUCCAGAGAUAGCAAAACCCUGGUUAGAGCUACUUCGAGCAAUGUGAUGCCAUUAGGCGACUUGGGCAACUUGAGGCAGCUGGGAAAUGGGAAUAUUACGGGUAAUAACAGUCCUAAUAAAACAAUAAAGACUGCGGAUUCCCUUCAUAGGAAUAUUCAAGAAGCAAACUCCACACCCAGAACUAGAAAUAGCUAUAGCAAACUGGGUGGUAAUGGUGUUAUGGGCAACAUUAUGAGGCAGUCCAGCGGCGAGUUUCGACAAUGUCAAAGCCUAACAAGUAGAAUGGAUCCUGAAGUUCUGAAGAAUAUGGGAAAUGAGAAGUACAAACAGGGAAGAUUUGAAGAGGCCUUGGCUUUUUAUGAUCGAGCAGUUGCUCUUGAUUCAAAUAAAGCAACAUAUCGGAGCAAUAGAAGUGCUGCUUUGAUAGGAUUAGGCCGUCUUACAGAUGCUGUCGCCGAGUGCAAAGAAGCUAUUAGGCUUGAUCCUUCUUAUCAAAGAGCACAUCACCGGUUGGCGACACUAUAUUUCAGAUUAGGAGAAGCGGAGAAAGCAUUAUAUCACUACGAACGAUCAGGCUCCUGCGCUGACCCUGAAGACAUUGCUCAAGUUCAGGCCUUGCAAAAGCACCUGAACAGGGGCAUCCAAGCUCGAAAAUUAAAAGAAUGGAAUACUUUGGUAAAGGAAACCGAUUGUGCAAUUUCCUUUGGUGCUGAUUCAUCUCCACAGAUAUAUGCAACGCAAGCUGAGGCCCUGUUGAGACUGCACAGACAUGAGGAAGCCUACAGAGCCUACCGGAGGGCACCGAAUUUUAGCGUUGACUCUUGCACUAAGUGCGUUGGCUUGCCAAGCACCUCUUAUCUCUUAAUAAUUGGGGCGCAGGUUUAUAUGGCUGCAGGCAGGUUUGAAGACGCUACAGCAGCAGCUCAGCUAGCUGCUCAACUUGAUCCAAGCAACAGGGAGGUCAGUACAGUAGUAAAAACUGCUAGAGCCGUAGCAUCUGCAAGAUUGAGUGGGAACCUGCUAUACAAGGCAUCCAAAUUCUCAGAGGCCUGCGUCGCAUAUAGUGAAGGACUAGAACAUGACCCUAAUAACUCAAUUUUACUAUGCAACCGAGCAGCUUGUCGAUCCAAGCUUGACCAAUUUGAAAAAGCUGUGGAAGACUGCACCGCAGCUCUUAGGUUGCAGCCUAACUAUAGCAAGGCCAGGCUAAGAAGGGCUUAUUGCAAUGCGAAGCUUGAAAGAUGGGAAGCUUCAAUUCAAGAUUAUGAGAUGUUGAUAAGAGGAAGUCCAGCGGAUGAGGAGGUGGGCAGGGCCUUGUUUGAGGCCAGGAUUCAGCUGAAGAAGCAACGCGGUGAAGACACCAAGGACCUGAAAUUUGGUUCUAAUUUGGUGUUCAUUUCCAGCAAUGAACGCUUUAGAUACUUUGUAACUUCGCCUGGAAUGUCAGUGGUGCUCUUUUGUAACAAAGAUAAUCAUAGGCAAGUGUUGCAGCUGAUGGAGCAAGUCUGCAAGCGUUACCCAUCUGUCAACUUUCUAAAGGUGGAGGUGGAGGAUCACCCUUACAUAGCAAAGUCAGAGAGUGUAACAUAUCUUCCAUCCUUCAAGAUAUACAAGAAUGGAUCCAGGGUGAAAGAAAUUCCAGGCAACAACCGCGAAUUACUCGAAAAAUCAGUUAAAUUGUACAGCAGUUGAAUAAGAUAAUUAACCAAAACUGUAAACAUGAUAAAAUUAGUAUGGGAACGAAAAGAAAGCAGCAUCACAUAUAAAAGCAGAAAAAAGAAUAAAGAAGGAAUCAUACUGGCUGCGCCAUGGAUUAAACAAAUUGGAGAGUUCUUUUGUGUUUCUUGAUGAUAAGUUAUUUUUAUUUUAUUUUAAUUUUUUGUUACUUUGAAUAGGAUGCUUAAUGACUGUUUUAUUCAGUUCUCUACCCUACCCAAAUAUCUUUAGCGCCGGCUUUGGCAAAUAAUCAGUUUGCUAAUUAUGUAGUGUGGAGUGGAAAGCAAAAAUUAAACAGUAAGAAUUUGCUUUUGUGUGGAAAGACUUAGAUUAGUGUUG
rnacentral:misc_RNA from 1 species